rnacentral:rRNA from 1 species
AGCGUAGACGGAUGGACAAGUCUGAUGUGAAAGGCUGGGGCUCAACCCCGGGACUGCAUUGGAAACUGCCCGUCUUGAGUGCCGGAGAGGUAAGCGGAAUUCCUAGUGUAGCGGUGAAAUGCGUAGAUAUUAGGAGGAACACCAGUGGCGAAGGCGGCUUACUGGACGGUAACUGACGUUGAGGCUCGAAAGCGUGGGGAGGCAAAACA